GCAAGUCGAGCGCGCCCUUCGGGGUGAGCGGCGGACGGGUGAGUAACGCGUGGGAAUAUGCCCUUCUCUAAGGAAUAGCCUCUGGAAACGGAGAGUAAUACCUUAUACGCCCUUCGGGGGAAAGAUUUAUCGGUGAAGGAUUAGCCCGCGUUAGAUUAGAUAGUUGGUGGGGUAAUGGCCUACCAAGACUACGAUCAGUAGUUGGUCUUAGAGGAUGAUC
rnacentral:rRNA from 1 species